rnacentral:lncRNA from 1 species
GUGACACACUUUCUCUCUCUAUCACUCCUAUUUCUCUCUAUCUUUGUCUGUAUCUAGAAAACCACCACCACCACUCCUUCGUAACCUCCGCCGCCUUCACCACCCUCACAAUAACCACCCACCACCACCAUCUUCCCCACCUCCCCAUUCCCAUCGCUAGAAAACGAGCAGAAACCUCUGUUGUCGACCCCUUCUCUGCUCAAGAACAGCUCCCUCCACCACCGUCCCUAAAAUCCGUUCAACAAAUCAUACCAAAAUCAUAACACUUGAUAGCACCCUAAGAAAGACCUACCUCCGUCGCCACCCUUUGCAUUUUUCCGAUGACCAGUCACAACCGCAGCACCCCAUUGCCACCGUUACUUACGUAGGGAACUCUCACCUUUCUGGAUCUUGGUAUACGUAUGGAUUAGCGUCUGUCUUUGAACUUCGUAUUUCAGUUGAUAAGGAGAGAAUGAAUAAUCGAAUAUCUUGAACCUAAUUUUUGAAAGAGAUGAUGCAGCAGAACUGUGCUCAUAUUAUGUUCUGUUUAUUCUUUUUAGAAAUGAAUUUUGUGGCCAGAAUUGAUUAAUAUGGAAGUGAAGUGUCUGAAUCUUUUAUUUAAUAAUAAUAAUAAGCUCACUGGAAGUGAAGAGAUGAUGCACCCUCUUCGUCACCGGAAACCUGAGCCACCACAUUGAAGCUCACUGGAUAAUCCAAUCGGAACCCUAGCCACCAAGGCUGGCGACACCUAGGUCUUUUAAGUCGGUAGCCCCUCUUCUCUGUUCAAUGGUGAUGGAGGUGAUCACUGGUGGUCCACUGUGGAGGUUGGUUGGGGGUUAA